GAGUUUGAUCCUGGCUCAGGAUGAACGCUGGCGGCGUGCUUAACACAUGCAAGUCGAGCGGAGCACAUCAUUGGAAUCCUUCGGGAGGAAGAAGGUGUGGCUUAGCGGCGGACGGGUGAGUAACGCGUGGACAACCUGCCCUAUGCAGGGGGAUAACAUCCGGAAACGGGUGCUAAUACCGCAUAAGCGCACAGUACCGCAUGGUACGGUGUGAAAAGCCGAGGCGGCAUAGGAUGGGUCCGCGUUGGAUUAGGCAGUUGGCGGGGUAACGGCCCACCAAACCGACGAUCCAUAGCCGGCCUGAGAGGGUGGACGGCCACAUUGGGACUGAGACACGGCCCAGACUCCUACGGGAGGCAGCAGUGGGGAAUAUUGCACAAUGGGGGGAACCCUGAUGCAGCGACGCCGCGUGGGUGAGGAAGUACUUCGGUAUGUAAAGCCCUAUCAGCAGGGAAGAAAAUGACGGUACCUGACUAAGAAGCCCCGGCUAACUACGUGCCAG
rnacentral:rRNA from 1 species